rnacentral:tRNA from 1 species
GCUGGCGUAGCUCAAUUGGUAGAGCAACGGAUUUGUAAUCCGUAGGUUAUGGGUUCAAGUCCCUUCGCCAGCUCCA